UCAGAUUGAACUCUGGCGGCAGGCCUAACACAUGCAAGUCGAGCGCGAAAGUUCUUCGGAACGAGUAGAGCGGCGGACGGGUGAGUAACGCGUGGGAAAUUGCCCAGUAGUGGGGGACAACAUUCGGAAACGGAUGCUAAUACCGCAUACGCCCUACGGGGGAAAGCAGGGGAUCUUCGGACCUUGUGCUAUUGGAUAUGCCCGCGUCGGAUUAGCUAGUUGGUGAGGUAAUGGCUCACCAAGGCAACGAUCCGUAGCUGGUCUGAGAGGAUGAUCAGCCACACUGGGACUGAGACACGGCCCAGACUCCUACGGGAGGCAGCAGUGGGGAAUAUUGGACAAUGGGCGCAAGCCUGAUCCAGCCAUGCCGCGUGUGUGAAGAAGGCUCUAGGGUUGUAAAGCACUUUCAGUAGGGAGGAAGGCCUUAAAGUUAAUACCUUUGAGGAUUGACGUUACCUACAGAAGAAGCACCGGCUAACUCCGUGCCAGCAGCCGCGGUAAUACGGAGGGUGCGAGCGUUAAUCGGAAUUACUGGGCGUAAAGCGCGCGUAGGCGGUUAGUUAAGCUGGAUGUGAAAGCCCCGGGCUCAACCUGGGAACUGCAUUCAGAACUGGCUGGCUAGAGUACGAGAGAGGGUAGUGGAAUUUCCUGUGUAGCGGUGAAAUGCGUAGAUAUAGGAAGGAACAUCAGUGGCGAAGGCGACUGCCUGGCUCGAUAC
rnacentral:rRNA from 1 species